rnacentral:tRNA from 2 species
GCGGAAGUGCUGGAAUUGGCAGACAGGCUAGACUAAGGAUCUAGUGUUGGCGACGACGUGAGGGUUCAAGUCCCUUCUUCCGCA